rnacentral:rRNA from 1 species
UACGAAGGGGGGCUAGCGUUGCUCGGAAUCACUGGGCGUAAAGGGCGCGUAGGCGGAUCUUUAAGUCAGGGGUGAAAGCCUGAGGCUCAACCUCAGAAUUGCCUUUGAUACUGAAGAUCUUGAGACCGGAAGAGGUUAGUGGAACUGCGAGUGUAGAGGUGAAAUUCGUAGAUAUUCGCAAGAACACCAGUGGCGAAGGCGGCUAACUGGUCCGGUUCUGACGCUGAGACGCGAAAGCUAGGGGAGCGAACGGG